AGGUCUCCGCUACUUUUGUACAUAUUACAGAAUUAUAUUUGGGGAAAUUUUUGAAAUACUAAUGUAAGCUGUAGCCGGUAGUAGCGACUCUAAUUCAAUUCCUAGCUGGAUACGGCUUUCCAGAAGUUAGUAUGUAUAUGAAGCCCGCUUUUAUAAACGCCUCCGGUUCUCUUCGAAAGGAAAAAAAAAACUUCCACCCUUUCACCAUUGCCUCCGCUUUAGAUCUCCGGCAUCCGAUCACAAUCUCAACCGCCGGCGUUUCACUCAUCUCAGCAAUCUCUUAUGGCCGGCAUUAUCGCCCCUCCCUUCUUUUUACAAUCUCCCGACAUUCACACUAAAAUCAAAAACACAUCUAUCUCGCCUCAUCCUCACAAAAUACCCUAGCUUUUGCAAUUUUCUCCGGGUCUGGCAGCUCCCUUCCCCGAAUCAGAAGCAAAAACCGGCUCGAAACGACACGUUUCACUGUUGUAUCGCAGAAUAGUUCCGUUACUUGUGUUGAAUUAUCGGAUAAUGAUGAACAGACAAAGAGUCCGAUUAUCGUAAUUGAUAAUUAUGAUAGCUUCACUUAUAAUCUCUGUCAGUUGCGGCCUAGCUGAGGGUUUAUCGGAAACAACUUCUCUACUCUCUCGAACAAGGAUAAGGUCUGCGUAUUGAAGUUGCAGCUUAAUAUUGAUUUUGAAAUAUUAAGAAAUGUAGAAAUUAUUAUUUUGGUUUUUGUUAAUAAUUUUUUUUGAAGUAUAUGGGAGAGCUUGGAUGCAAUUUCGAGGUUUAUCGUAACGACGAGCUGAGCGUGCAUGAACUGAAAAAGAAAAAUCCAAGGGGAAUACUAAUAUCACCUGGACCAGGUAA